ensembl:lncRNA
GGAACUUGAGUGUGGUAGAGCAGAACAGAAGGGAAGGAGGAAGGGAAAGGAUUUUUGCUGGGGAGAGAAGAGACCUUCCAACAUCCCCACUUAGAAGCCUCUCCAACAUUCCAUGAGUGUGGGCACACAUGCAGGACCAGGGCAAGUGGAGACAUUCCUUCACACGCACUGCGGCAGAGAACCCUCAGGAACUCCGGACUCCCCCAUGCUCCCCUGGGACCAUCAGACCAAGCCCUACCCUCCACAGGCCCGAAACCACCACAGGAGACAAGCAAGAGGACACUUAACCUCCGGAGCCUGUAUGAAGAUCGUUUGGACUAAAAUGUCAAAACAGAGUUAGAUUAGUUUGCUAGAGCCUCUGUAACAAAGUACCACAGAUCGUGCAGCUUAAACAUGGAAAAACGCUGUCUCACAAUUCUGGGGGCUGGAAGUCCAGGAUCAAGGUGUCAGCAGGGCUGGUUCCUGCAGAGAGCCUGGAGGGGAGGGUCUUCCCCACGCCUCUCUCCUUGGCUUGCAUGUGGCCGAUUCCCCCUGUGUCUCUCCAUGUCAUCUUUUCUCUGUAAGUAUCUGUGUUCAAACUUCCCCCUUUCUAUGAGGACACCAGUCAAACUGGAUCAGGCCCCACCCCGAUGACCUGGUUUUAACUUUCUCACCUCUGUGAAAG